UGUCCAGGGAUGGGAAUCGAACCCACAGUGUUCCGCUUACCGGGCAGAUGCCAUGACCACUAGGCUACCUUGUC
rnacentral:tRNA from 1 species